AGUCGAGGGGCAGCGAGAGUGAUAGCAAUAUUACUUGUCGGCGACCGGCGCACGGGUGCGUAACGCGUAUGCAACCUACCAUCAACAGGGGGAUAACACUGAGAAAUUGGUACUAAUACCCCAUAAUAUCUCAUGCGGCAUCGCAUGGGGUUGAAAACUCCGGUGGUUGAUGAUGGGCAUGCGUUGUAUUAGCUGGUUGGUGAGGUAACGGCUCACCAAGGCGACGAUACAUAGGGGGACUGAGAGGUUAACCCCCCACAUUGGUACUGAGACACGGACCAAACUCCUACGGGAGGCAGCAGUGAGGAAUAUUGGUCAAUGGACGCAAGUCUGAACCAGCCAUGCCGCGUGCAGGAUGACGGCUCUAUGAGUUGUAAACUGCUUUUGUACGAGGGUAAACCCCGAUACGUGUAUCGGGUUGAAAGUAUCGUACGAAUAAGGAUCGGCUAACUCCGUGCCAGCAGCCGCGGUAAUACGGAGGAUCCGAGCGUUAUCCGGAUUUAUUGGGUUUAAAGGGUGCGUAGGCGGUUUGAUAAGUUAGAGGUGAAAUGUCGGGGCUCAACCCCGAAACUGCCUCUAAUACUGUUGGACUAGAGAAUAGUUGCGGUAGGCGGAAUGUAUGGUGUAGCGGUGAAAUGCUUAGAGAUCAUACAGAACACCGAUUGCGAAGGCAGCUUACCAAACUAUAUCUGACGUUGAGGCACGAAAGCGUGGGUAGCAAACAGGAUUAGAUACCCUGGUAGUCCACGCAGUAAACGAUGAAUACUAACUGUCCGGGCAGAAUGAUGCCUGG
rnacentral:rRNA from 1 species